UUGGCUCUCUCAGAGUUCCCUCCUCAGGUGUGGUGGGAGUGGCAGUUGAAUGGGGCAGUUGGAGAGGAGGGCUCCCAGCAGGUGGGACAAGGGAAAGGAAACCUGAGGUCCACAGAGGAGGAAGCUAGAGUGAACGUGUCUCAAAGCCAGGAGUCCAGGGCUCCAGAACACCAUCAAGAUGGUGGGCGAAGACCCGUACCUUAUCUCAGACCUGGAUCGCAGAGGCCGUCGGAGAUCCUUUGCCGAGAGAUAUGAUCCCAGCCUGAAAACCAUGAUCCCAAUGCGACCCUAUGCAAGGCUGGCACCCAAUCCUGUGGAUGAUGCGGGGCUGCUGUCCUUCGCCACGUUUUCCUGGCUCACACCUGUGAUGAUUCGAAGUUACAAGCACACGCUGACCGUGGACACCCUGCCCCCACUAUCUCCUUACGACUCAUCGGAUGUCAAUGCCAAGAGACUCCAAAUCCUUUGGGAUGAAGAAAUAGAAAGGGUAGGGCCCGAGCGGGCCUCUUUGGGCCGUGUGGUUUGGAAAUUCCAGAGGACCCGUGUUCUGAUGGAUGUUGUAGCCAACAUUCUCUGCAUCAUCAUGGCAGCCUUAGGGCCGACAGUUCUCAUUCACCAAAUCCUCCAGCACGUUACCAACAUCUCCUCCGGACACAUCGGGAUCAGCAUCUGCUUGUGUCUGGCCCUUUUUGCCACCGAGUUUACCAAAGUCCUCUUUUGGGCCCUUGCCUGGGCCAUAAAUUACCGCACAGCGAUUCGACUGAAGGUGGCCCUGUCCACGCUAAUUUUCAAAAAUCUGUUGUCCUUCAAGACAUUAACCCACAUCUCUGCAGGCGAGGUACUCAAUGUACUAUCGAGUGAUAGUUAUUCCUUGUUUGAGGCUGCCUUGUUUUGUCCUUUGCCAGCCACCAUCCCGAUCCUAAUGGUCGUUUGUGCCGUGUAUGCCUUUUUCAUUCUGGGGUCCACCGCUCUUGUUGGGAUAUGCGUGUAUCUCAUAUUCAUCCCGAUCCAGAUGUUUAUGGCCAAACUCAACUCAGCUUUCCGAAGAUCAGCAAUUUCAGUGACAGACAAGCGGGUUCAGACAAUGAAUGAGUUUCUGACCUGCAUCAAACUGAUUAAAAUGUAUGCCUGGGAGAAAUCUUUUAUGAACACCAUUCACGACAUAAGAAAGAGAGAGAAAAAAUUACUGGAAAAGGCUGGAUACGUCCAAAGUGGGAACUCAGCCCUGGCUCCCAUAGUGUCUACCAUAGCCAUUGUGUCUACUUUCACCUGCCACAUUUUCCUGAAACGCACACUCACUGCCCCUGUGGCAUUUAGUGUGAUUGCCAUGUUUAAUGUAAUGAAGUUUUCAAUUGCAAUCUUGCCUUUCUCGGUCAAAGCAGUGGCCGAAGCCAGUGUCUCUCUAAGGAGAAUGAAGAAAAUUCUUGUAGCUAAAAGUCCCCCAUCCUACAUCACCCAACCAGAAGACCCAGAUACUAUCUUGCUUUUAGCAAAUGCCACCCUGACAUGGGAACAAGAAAUCAACAGGAAAAGAGGCCCAUUGAAGACACAAGAUCAGAGAAGGCACGUUUUCAAGAAACAGAGGGCAGAGCUAUACAGUGAGCAAAGUCUCUCAGAUCAGGGAGUUGCCAGCCCAGAGCGGCAAAGUGGCAGCCCCAAGUCAGUACUACACAACAUCAGCUUUGUGGUGAGAAAGGGAAAGGUCUUGGGGAUAUGCGGGAAUGUUGGAAGCGGGAAGAGUUCCCUCAUUUCUGCUCUUCUAGGGCAGAUGCAGUUACAGAAAGGGGUCGUGGCUGUCAGUGGACCUUUGGCUUAUGUUUCUCAGCAAGCUUGGAUCUUCCACGGAAAUGUGAGGGAGAACAUCCUGUUUGGAGAGAAGUACAACCACCAAAGGUACCAACACACGGUUCAUGUCUGUGGGCUCCAGAAGGAUUUGAACAGCCUCCCUUAUGGAGACCUGACUGAGUGCCAUUAUCCCCAUCUACAGAUUGGGGAGCGGGGUGUGAACCUCUCCGGGGGACAGAGGCAGAGGAUCAGCCUGGCCCGGGCUGUGUACGCCAACCGUCAGCUCUACCUGCUGGAUGACCCGCUCUCGGCAGUGGAUGCCCAUGUGGGGAAGCACGUCUUUGAAGAAUGCAUUAAAAAGACACUCAAGGGGAAGACUGUGGUGCUGGUUACCCACCAGCUGCAGUUCCUGGAGUCUUGCGAUGAGGUCAUUCUGUUAGAAGAUGGAGAGAUCUGUGAAAAGGGCACCCACAAGGAGUUGAUGGAAGAGAGAGGCCGCUAUGCAAAGCUGAUCCACAACCUCAGGGGACUGCAAUUCAAGGAUCCAGAGCACAUUUACAAUGUAGCCAUGGUGGAGACCCUGAAGGAGAGCCAAGCUCAAAGGGAUGAAGACGCUGUCUUGGCUUCAGGAGAUGAGAGAGAUGAAGGAAAAGAACCCGAGACAGAAGAAUUUGUGGACAUAAAAGCUCCCGUGCACCAGCUCAUCCAGAUUGAAUCCCCCCAAGAAGGAAUCGUGACCUGGAAAACAUAUCACACGUAUAUUAAAGCUUCUGGAGGGUACCUGGUCUCCUUCCUGGUUUUGUGUCUCUUCUUCCUGAUGAUGGGCAGCUCUGCCUUCAGCACCUGGUGGCUGGGGCUCUGGUUGGACAGUGGCUCCCAGGUCAUCUGUGCACCCCAGAGCAAUGAGACAGCCUGCAACGUUAACCAGACGCUGCAGGACACCAAACACCACAUGUACCAGUUGGUUUACAUAGCAAGCAUGAUGUCUGUGCUGACGUUUGGCAUCAUCAAAGGCUUCACCUUCACCAACACGACACUGAUGGCGUCCUCCUCCCUCCACAACAGAGUGUUUAACAAGAUCGUCAGCAGCCCAAUGAGCUUCUUUGACACGACUCCCACAGGCCGGCUAAUGAACCGCUUUUCUAAAGAUAUGGAUGAGCUAGAUGUGAGGCUGCCAUUUCACGCUGAGAAUUUUUUGCAGCAGUUUUCUAUGGUGGUGUUUAUUCUGGUGAUUAUGGCUGCCUCGUUUCCUGUUGUCCUCGUGGUGCUGGCUGGCCUGGCUAUUCUCUUCUUCAUCCUUUUACGCAUUUUCCAUCGAGGGGUGCAGGAGCUCAAGCAGGUGGAGAACAUCAGCCGGUCCCCUUGGUUCUCUCACAUCACCUCCUCCAUGCAGGGUCUGGGUGUCAUCCAUGCCUACGACAAAAAGGACGAUUGCAUAAGCAAGUUUAAGGCGCUCAAUGAUGAAAACUCCAGCCACCUCUUGUACUUUAACUGUGCACUCAGGUGGUUUGCUCUCAGAAUGGACAUCCUCAUGAACAUCGUCACCUUUGUCGUGGCCUUGCUGGUGACCCUGAGCUUUUCUUCAAUCAGUGCUUCAUCCAAAGGCUUGUCCCUGUCUUACAUCAUCCAGCUCAGUGGACUGCUUCAAGUGUGUGUGCGAACAGGAACAGAGACCCAAGCCAAGUUCACCUCUGCAGAGCUAAUGAGGGAGUACAUUUCGACCUGUGUCCCUGAACACACUCAAUCCUUCAAAGUGGGGACCUGUCCCAAAGACUGGCCGAGCCGUGGGGAGAUAACUUUCAAGGACUAUCGGAUGAGAUACAGAGACAACACCCCUCUCGUUCUCGAUGGGUUGAACCUGAACAUCCAAAGCGGGCAGACAGUUGGGAUUGUGGGAAGAACGGGCUCUGGUAAAUCAUCACUGGGCAUGGCCCUGUUUCGUCUGGUGGAACCAGCCUCUGGCACCAUCUUCAUUGACGAGGUGGAUAUCUGCACUGUGGGUCUGGAAGAGCUCCGAACCAAGCUGACCAUGAUCCCCCAGGAUCCUGUCCUGUUUGUAGGUACAGUAAGGUACAACUUGGAUCCCUUGGGGAGUCACACCGACGAGAUGCUCUGGCAUGUUUUGGAGAGAACAUUCAUGAGAGACACAAUAAUGAAACUCCCAGAGAAAUUACAGGCAGAAGUCACAGAAAACGGGGAAAACUUCUCAGUAGGAGAACGCCAGCUGCUUUGUAUGGCCCGGGCACUUCUCCGUAAUUCAAAAAUCAUUCUCCUUGAUGAAGCUACUGCCUCCAUGGAUUCCAAGACGGACACCCUUGUUCAGAGCACCAUAAAAGAGGCCUUCAAAAGCUGCACAGUGCUGACCAUCGCUCAUCGCCUAAACACUGUUCUCAACUGUGACCUUGUCCUGGUCAUGGAAAAUGGGAAGGUGCAGGAAGUUCUGGUGAUUGAGUUUGACAAGCCUGAAGUCCUCGCUGAGAAGCCUGACUCUGCAUUUGCGAUGUUACUAGCUGCAGAAGUUGGACUGUAAAGGUCCCGUGGUUGGUUUGAGAGGAGACAAUGGAUGUGUGAGAGGAGAAGCCUGAAGUUUUCAGAACUGGUUUGUGGGACGGAUAUGGAAAAGUUUGGAAUCUGGGGCUAAAGCGAGCCUGGACUGCAAUAAGCAGAGUUUGAUGGGCCAUCCCCGUGGGAAUGUGGACGACCAGACUGCCAACAGAAAGGAGCACAGUAGAGACCUAGCAUUGGAAGUUGGGAGAACUAGGCUAGAGGCAAAGACAAAUCAUGUCCCUGCAUUUGAUGUGUUCCCUGAGAACUCAGGUGAGGCUGGAUCAGAAAGUAAUGGACUAAUUUGUUUAAUAGAAGGAAUUUUAAGAAAGGGCAGCAUUUAGGCUGUGACAUGGUUACUAUUCAUUGCCCUUAUCCACGUCUACAGAGAGAAAGAGCAACAAAAAUGGAGCAGAAAUACAUGAAAAAUAUGCAGGUUACCAAAGGCUAAAGGAGUGAGCUCAAACUUGGGACAAGGCAGCUGAGAGCAGCUGUAAUUAUUAAGGAAAACUAGUAAAGAGAAAUAUGUGCUCUGCAUGGAGACACUAAAAAACAGAAAAGAAAAAAAAAAAAAAAACGGCAGACAGACAGGCAGAUGUGGAAACCAAAUUCAUUUGAAAGGAGAGCCCAUGAAUGGAAAAUGAUGUUGAAGGGGUUUCCUGCUCAAAAACAGCUGCCUAGGGAAAUGUUUCUCUAGGAUCGGCACCCAGAAGCCACAGCAAUUGUGGCCCAACAGGGCCAGGCUACAUCUUGAGCUGACAGCAGAACUUGGCAAUGUUGUUCACUUGGUAUGGGUUUUCCAUCAUAGAAGUCGGGGAGGAAACCCAAGAAGGAACACUGCUCAUUGACAUGUUCUCUGUCUUGCUUUCUGUAGCUUUCUUCUAGAGUCAGCCAACAUCAUUAGGGGAAGGUGUUGUCCACAGUGGGUUGGAGCAUCCCACAUUCAUCAUCAGUAUGAGUCCUCACAGACACCGCCUCUAGCAAAGUCUGACCAAGGAAAUUCCAUAACUAAGGUUCCCCCUUUCCAGGUGACUUUAAGUCAUGUUGAACUGACAAUAAAGACUAAUCAGUACAACCAUUGUAUGGUUCAUAGUUAAGAGUUCUGUUCAGAGUUAAGAGAUGGUCCUAAAUCUCUGAAGAGAUUGACUUUGAACUUUUAAGCAGUGUUGUAAUUGUCACAAGUCAUGGGGAUGUUUGAUGUUGAAAUGAAUGCACUCUGCAUGCAUGCACUCUGAAAUGAUGGUGAGCCUAUUGGGGCCAGAUAUCAAGGAAUAUCAGUUGACAGGAUAGAUUUGUGAUGGUUAAUAUCAUCAGCUUGACAGUAUCUGGACCAUCUAGGAGGCAAACCUCUGGGCCUGACAGUGAGGGAGUUUCUAGAUUGAGUUAAUUGAGACAGAAAGACCCUAAACGGAGGGGCACCAACUCACAGGUUGGGAUCCAGAACUAAACACAAAGGAAACAUGCUGUGAGCUGUAGCUCACUAUCUCUCUGCUUUCUGGCUUCUCUAACUCUGCUUUCUGUUUCCAUGUGUUCCCCACUCUUAACAUACCAUAUGUCUUCUUAAGUUACUUCUGGGUAUUUUGAUCACAACAAUGAGAAGUGUAAGUCAUACCCAAUCCAACAACCACUGUGGCAAAAAGCUGGUGGUUUACCUCUACCCAGCCAUUCUGUAUCUGAUGUCUGGACAGGCCGCAGGCUAGACCAGAGGGAAAGCAAGUGCAGUUGGAGCCAGGUGGAGGUCUUAGUCAAGUGUGGUAAAGCCCGUGGCAGGCAUUUCCAUUGAAUCCUGCUAUCAGCGGAUGGGACACCCUCAAGAGGAUGUGACUGAAAAAGACACAGUGAGGUGAUUCCUUUCAUGGACAACUUUAUGACAACUGUGGCCCUCCUGCAAAGGGACACUCCGAUCAUCAAAUUUAGAGUCACAGAACUUUGGACAAGUUGCAUAGCUUCUUGAUGGAUACCCAGCAACUUCUUUGACACAACAGUCUGACCAGGCUGUCCCUGGUGGCCAUGGGAACCCAUGCCAGUCAUAACUGACAUGUUAUAUGGAUGAAGGAUGCUUGACUUUCCUCUCCAGGUCAGUCUGAUAAUGUGCCCAUGACUUCAAGAAGACUUUUUUCAAGGUCCAGGGCAGUGGCUCCUUUAGUCAUUGGAAGCAAUGACUCAUGCCCUGUGGCUCCUGUCUGCCCAUGCUCUUCCUGUUGUCCUAGCAGGAGAGAAUACUGAUAUUGAUCCUGAUGUUUGCCGAGCCUCUGCAGUGUGCCAGACACCAUGACAAGCAGUUUUUUUAUGAAUCAUUUCACCUAAUCCUUGUCUCACCCUGUGAAAUGCAAGAUGAGGCUUCCUGAGGAGAGGAGUUUAGCUCCAGGCACACAGGCACAUAGGAAGGAGAGGACAGAGGUAGCAAUUGAACCCUGGCCAAUCUGAUUCCAGGGACUUUGCUCCUAAACCCCUUUGUCCAUUCUCCUGGCCUGCUCUGAGACAGUGACAAUUGUCAGGAUCACACAGGGUCAGGGGGUACAGAUCAUGGGAUGGUCUCCAUGACAGUCCUUGACCUUCAUGACUUACUCUUCCUGAAAUGUCAUCCAAGGUCAGACUAUGCUGACUAGCCCGUGGUCUUCAAAGUUGGUGUGCUUUGUUGAAUCCUUACCAUGUCUUUGAGAGAUAUCCACCUGCCAUGAUCUGAAAUUUAUGCCCCUUGAAACCUAAUCAGAAGUACAACGGUAUUAAGAGCCUUGGCUUAUAGGGCGAUUAGCUUAUGAGGGCAGAGACCUCAUGUGUGGGAUUCAGUGUCUAUACAAGAAAGGUUUGACAGAGUUGGCUCAUCAUUUUAACCAUGGAAGACACGUUAAAGUCAACAUUCAUGAUGUAGAAAGCCCCAUCUGGUACUACUACUCAGUUCCAGAACAAUUAGCAAUCAAUUUCUGUUGUUUAUAAAUUAUCUAGUCUAUUAUAUUUUGCUAUUACAACAUAAGCAGUACUAGUAUUAUAAUACUGAUGGGGAAACUGAGGAACUGAUACAGUCACCAAGAUUACCCCACUAUUAGAAUUUAAAUACCAAGCAGGCUGAUCCUAAAACCUGUUUUAUUAAUUACUUUUCUUAUCGCUGUUUCAAAAUACAUGGCAGAAACAGUUUGAGGGAGUUUGAAAGGCUUAUUUUAGGUCAAAGUCUAUCAUUGUGUGGAAGGCACAGUGAAACAUCUUAGGUCACCUCACAGCAGGCUAGGGAGCAGAGAGCAAGAGAGGAAAGGAAGUGAAUAGCCAGGAAUAAUAUAUCCCCAAAGACCAGUCCCAGAGACCUACUUCCUGCGGCUUUGUCCCUUGCUUUCUGAGGUCCUAGAACCUUCCAAAAUACUUUGACCAUCCAAGAGGACCAACUGUUCAAACCAUGAGCCUAUUGGGAACAUUACUUACUCACCCUGUGGCAUAUGUUCUGUUAAAUUCCAUCUGCUAGCAACUUGAGACCUUCUGAUGACAAAAAACAGUGUCCAGAGGUGAAAAGCCCACGUAUUGGUCAGUCUUGGUUAUGCUGCUAAUGACCCCAUAUCCUGAUGGUUUAUUUCUUGUUCAUGUGAUAUGUGUACCAAAGGUCAGAGAUAUUUGUCCUUUAUCUUCUUCACUGUUCACAGUCAGGCUGACAGAGCAGACUCUGCCUGGAAUAUCGUCAGUUUUAUGGCAGAGGAAAGGUAGAUGUGGUAAUCAGGAACAAGAUAUGGCACUUUAGCCUACAACUCAUGGGCAACCUAAGUCACGUGGCCACUCCUGAGCCACUCCAAUGUAUGGCGCAUACUCCACCUGCAGGACCGUGGGUCACAGAAGCUCAGUUUGCUCCUGCAGGAGGUUGUACAACCAGUGCUCUUCUUCGGAGCAGCAGCAAAAGUUCCAAACGGUAUCCACAACCUACCUCAGCCUAGGUUUGGGUCUUGGUUCUGCUGUGGUGUACUGUACCUGUGCAAUACCAUUCUCUGAGCUGAAGGAAAAGGGGUUGGCUUUCAGCUUAGAAGAAAUGAGGACAAUUUCUAGAACAUGAGCAGAAUUUAGACAGAGGG